GAUGAACGCUGGCGGCGUGCCUAAUACAUGCAAGUCGAACGAGUUCUGAUUAUUGAAAGGUGCUUGCAUCUUGAUUUAAUUGUGAACGAGUGGCGGACGGGUGAGUAACACGUGGGUAACCUGCCCUUAAGUGGGGGAUAACAUUUGGAAACAGAUGCUAAUACCGCAUAAAUCCAAGAACCGCAUGGUUCUUGGCUGAAAGAUGGCGUAAGCUAUCGCUUUUGGAUGGACCCGUGGCGUAUUAGCUAGUUGGUGAGGUAACGGCUCACCAAGGCAAUGAUACGUAGCCGAACUGAGAGGUUGAUCGGCCACAUUGGGACUGAGACACGGCCCAAACUCCUACGGGAGGCAGCAGUAGGGAAUCUUCCACAAUGGACGCAAGUCUGAUGGAGCAACGCCGCGUGAGUGAAGAAGGCUUUCGGGUCGUAAAACUCUGUUGUUGGAGAAGAAUGGUCGGCAGAGUAACUGUUGUCGGCGUGACGGUAUCCAACCAGAAAGCCACGGCUAACUACGUGCCAGCAGCCGCGGUAAUACGUAGGUGGCAAGCGUUAUCCGGAUUUAUUGGGCGUAAAGCGAGCGCAGGCGGUUUUUUAAGUCUGAUGUGAAAGCCCUCGGCUUAACCGAGGAAGUGCAUCGGAAACUGGGAAACUUGAGUGCAGAAGAGGACAGUGGAACUCCAUGUGUAGCGGUGAAAUGCGUAGAUAUAUGGAAGAACACCAGUGGCGAAGGCGGCUGUCUGGUCUGUAACUGACGCUGAGG
rnacentral:rRNA from 1 species